ACAGAGGUCCCAAGCGUUGUUCGGAUUCACUGGGCGUAAAGGGUGCGUAGGUGGUCGGGUAAGUCUGAUGUGAAAUCUCCGAGCUUAACUCGGAAAUGGCAUUGGAUACUAUUCGGCUAGAGGGUUUGAGGGGGGACUGGAAUACUUGGUGUAGCAGUGAAAUGCGUAGAUAUCAAGUGGAACACCAGUGGCGAAGGCGAGUCCCUGGAAAACUCCUGACACUGAGGCACGAAAGCUAGGGGAGCAAACAGGA
rnacentral:rRNA from 1 species